rnacentral:RNase_P_RNA from 1 species
GCAGUCGGGACGGCUUGUCGCGUGCGCUCCUUUAGGGUGGCGCAGGAGGAAAGUCUGGGCAGCACAGGGAGCUCCGCUUCCCAAUCGGAAGGUGCCCGUGAGGGCAGAUUGGUGUAGAAGAAAAUAACCGCCUCCGGUCUUAAAUGCCGGGGGUAAGGGUGAGAAGGUGGGGUAAGAGCCCACCGCUGCAAUGGUGACAUUGCGGGCUGUGCACUUCGGAGGCUGAAAGUCCGCGUAUACCGGCGUCAUUAGGGCGUCCCGUCCGAUUAUCGCCGGAGGGUAGGACGAUAGAACUUGUCGGUGACGGCAAGUCCGGAUAAAUGACAAGCGGUCUGUUUUUGCAGACUACAGAACCCGGCUUAUAGAGCCCGGCUGCUUCU